rnacentral:lncRNA from 1 species
CGGCAAUGAUUUGAAUGAUUUAUCCGCGCUUCUGAGAGUAAUCAAUGAAGUAAAGGAUUUAAAAUGGUUGAAUUUCUUAAUAUGAGCCGACUAUUUUUUUUGUGAAAAUAUGCAGUGAUGAUUGAAUACACAGCUUUAAGCCAGUUCUGCUUCAGAGAAUUCAUGAUUGAUAGAGCUGUUAUUUACUCUGAGCUCAACUAAAUAUGUUUUUUUAAUUAUUUUCCAAUGAUGAUGUAAUCCAAUUGUAAGAGGUACGUGGAUCCAAGACCCUGUUUACAGGGAGAACCACUUGGUUGAAGCUGUAUUUCAAUUGAUAUUACUGGAUUUUACUGAGGAUUAUUAGUUUUUAUUAUUAUUAUUGAGUUUAAACUAUACUUUUUACCCUGGAUUAUUAAACGGGUUUGGAGUCUGAAAAAACUCAGAAAGUAUUGUGUUGUCAUCAGCUUCUUCUUUCGUAACAUUCACGAGACUGGAGUUAAAUAACAGCACUAAAUAU